CCUACGGGAGGCAGCAGUGGGGGAUAUUGCACAAUGGGGGAAACCCUGAUGCAGCGACGCCGCGUGUGUGAAGAAGCGCCUCGGCGCGUAAAGCCCUGUCAGCAGGGAAGAAAAUGCCGGUACCUGAAGAAGAAGCCCCGGCUAACUACGUGCCAGCAGCCGCGGUAAUACGUAGGGGGCAAGCGUUAUCCGGAUUUACUGGGUGUAAGGGGGGCGCAGACGGCGAUGCAAGCCAGGAGUGAGAGCCCGGGGCCCAACCCCGGGAGUGCACUGGGAACUGCGUGGCUAGAGUGCAGGAGGGGCAGGCGGAAUUCCUGGUGUAGCGGUGAAAUGCGUAGAUAUCAGGAGGAACACCGGUGGCGAAGGCGGCCUGCUGGAAUGCAACUGACGUUGAGGCCCGAAAGCGUGGGGAGCAAACAGGAUUAGAUACCCCUGUAGUC
rnacentral:rRNA from 1 species